rnacentral:misc_RNA from 1 species
AAGAAUGCGAUAUGCAAUGUGAAUUGCAGAACCAUGAAUCAUCGGAUCUUUGAACGCAACUGGCGCUGAUUUACCUCAGCAUACUUGUUUCAGUGUGCGCAAACAACUAAACCACAAAAAUGUGAGAGAAUAUCUCUCAUAAAGUAAAUGCUCAUUGCAGCAGUCACAUUUAUAUGUGAGCUGGGAUGCAGACUCAUUGCCUUAUUUGCACCUGAAAUCAAGUAAGAUGACCCGCUGGACUUAA